GCCAACCUCUCCUGCUAUGUGUGUUUGCCUGAUUCCCUUGUGUUGGAUGAAUAAAGUCUCCUCGUUCCUUUUUAAACUAAACUUUCAAGGUAUUACAUGGUCAUGGUGAAGAAGUAGAAGAAUUGGAUUGAGCUUUACACUGAAAAGCUCGUGGUCUGGGCAAUCAUUGCUGAUCUUGCAGAGGGAGUGCACAGAUCAUGAGCUGACUCUCCCCCACACCUGUCACCCA